GCGCCCGUACGCCAACUGGCCGAGCGGCAAUCUUUAGGUGGUUGUGUUUGUCGGUUCGAAUCCGACCGGGCGCAC
rnacentral:tRNA from 4 species